ensembl:lncRNA
CCGCAACCCACAUCCCACACCCCACAUCCCAUACCCCGCAACCCACACCCCACAUCCCGUACCAAACAUCCUGUACCCCAUACCCCACAUCCCGCACCCCACAUCCCAUACCAAACAUCCUGCACCCCACACCCCACAUUCCACACCCCACAUCCCGCACCCCACAUCCCACACCCCACAUCUCACACCCCACAUCCCACACCCUACAUCCCACACCCUACAUCCCACACCCUACAUCCCACACCCCACAUCCCAUACCCCGCAACCCACACCCCACAUCCCGUACCAAACAUCCUGUACCCCAUACCCCACAUCCCGCACCCCACAUCCCAUACCAAACAUCCUGCACCCCACACCCCACAUUCCACACCCCACAUCCCGCACCCCACAUCCCACACCCCACAUCUCACACCCCACAUCCCACACCCUACAUCCCACACCCUACAUCCCACACCCUACAUCCCACACCCCACAUCCCAUACCCCACAACCCACACCCCACAUCCCGUACCAAACAUCCUGCACCCCACACCCCACAUCCCGCACCCCACAUCCCAUAUCCUCCACCCCACAGCCAAAACUGUGCGACAGAACCAGGGGGGUUCCAUCCGCUGCAAAACAGGUCCUAAAUGGGUGCAGGCCCCAAAUGGAUGCAGGUCCUGAAUGGGGACGAGUCCCACAUGGGUGCGGGUCCCAGAUGAAUGCUCACCCCAAAUGGGUGCGGGUCCCGAAUGGAUUCAGGUCCCAAAUGGGUGCGGGUCCAAAAUGAGUUCAAAUCCUACAUGGGUGCACAUUCCAGACAGGUGUGGAUCCCAAAUGGGUGCAGGUCCCACGAGGGUUCAUAUCCCAAAUGGGUGCCCAUCCCAAAUAGGUGCGGAUCCCAAAUGGAUGCGGGUCCCAAAUAGGUGCGGAUCUGAAAUGGAUGUGGAUCCCAAAUGGAUGUGGGUCCCAAAUAGGUGCAGAUCUGAAAUGGAUGUGGAUCCCAAACGGAUGUGGGUUCUAAAUAGGUGUGGAUCCCAAUGGGUCCCAGAUGGGUGCCCAUCCCAAACAGGUGUGGAUCCCAAUGGAUGCAGGCCCCAAAUGGGUGCCCAUCCCAAAUAGGUGUGGAUCCCAAUGGGUGCAGGCCCCAAAUGGGUGCCCAUCCCAAAUAGGUGUGGAUCCCAAUGGGUCCCAAAUGGGAGCCCAUCCCAAAUAGGUGUGGAUCCCAAUGGGUGCGGGUCUCAAAUGGGUGCCCAUCCCAAAUAGGUGUGGAUCCCAAUGGGUGCAGGCCCCAAAUGGGUGCCCAUCCCAAAUAGGUGUGGAUCCCAAUGGGUCCCAAAUGGGUACCC